AUACAUAUAUGUCUUCACUCCUUAUCAAUACACUUAUGUUGUUAUAUGAAGUCUCACCCUACUACAUGGUUAUUUCAUUUCUUUGCAAGCAACUUCUUUGGAAGCUCAUCGAAAGGGGUAGACUUUAGCAAGAAAAGACGGGUAGCUUGCUCUUGUAAUGUACCACC